rnacentral:tRNA from 1 species
GUCUCUGGGGCAUAAGCAGUGAAUGCUCUUGGCUACUAACUGAAAGGCUGGGGUUCAAGUCCAUGCAGAGACA